rnacentral:rRNA from 1 species
UGAGUAAUGUCUGGGAAACUGCCUGAUGGAGGGGGAUAACUACUGGAAACGGUAGCUAAUACCGCAUAACGUCGCAAGACCAAAGAGGGGGACCUUCGGGCCUCUUGCCAUCAGAUGUGCCCAGAUGGGAUUAGCUAGUAGGUGGGGUAACGGCUCACCUAGGCGACGAUCCCUAGCUGGUCUGAGAGGAUGACCAGCCACACUGGAACUGAGACACGGUCCAGACUCCUACGGGAGGCAGCAGUGGGGAAUAUUGCACAAUGGGCGCAAGCCUGAUGCAGCCAUGCCGCGUGUAUGAAGAAGGCCUUCGGGUUGUAAAGUACUUUCAGCGGGGAGGAAGGUGUUGAGGUUAAUAACCUCAGCAAUUGACGUUACCCGCAGAAGAAGCACCGGCUAACUCCGUGCCAGCAGCCGCGGUAAUACGGAGGGUGCAAGCGUUAAUCGGAAUUACUGGGCGUAAAGCGCACGCAGGCGGUCUGUCAAGUCGGAUGUGAAAUCCCCGGGCUCAACCUGGGAACUGCAUUCGAAACUGGCAGGCUAGAGUCUUGUAGAGGGGGGUAGAAUUCCAGGUGUAGCGGUGAAAUGCGUAGAGAUCUGGAGGAAUACCGGUGGCGAAGGCGGCCCCCUGGACAAAGACUGACGCUCAC